GAUGAACGCUGGCGGCGUGCCUAAUACAUGCAAGUCGAGCGAACAGACGAGGAGCUUGCUCCUCUGACGUUAGCGGCGGACGGGUGAGUAACACGUGGAUAACCUACCUAUAAGACUGGGAUAACUUCGGGAAACCGGAGCUAAUACCGGAUAAUAUAUUGAACCGCAUGGUUCAAUAGUGAAAGACGGUUUUGCUGUCACUUAUAGAUGGAUCCGCGCCGCAUUAGCUAGUUGGUAAGUUAACGGCUUACCAAGGCAACGAUGCGUAGCCGACCUGGGAGGGGGAUCGGCCACAUGGGAACGGGGACACGGUCCAGACUCCUACGGGAGGCAGCAGUAGGGAAUCUUCCGCAAUGGGCGAAAGCCUGACGGAGCAACGCCGCGUGAGUGAUGAAGGUCUUCGGAUCGUAAAACUCUGUUAUUAGGGAAGAACAAAUGUGUAAGUAACUAUGCACGUCUUGACGGUACCUAAUCAGAAAGCCACGGCUAACUACGUG
rnacentral:rRNA from 1 species